UUGAUUCAGAGAUUUUGUUGAAGUUUAAGAUUAUUAAGAGAGAAUAAGACUAAAUUUUAUAAAAUUGUGUGAAAUUUCGUUGUAAAUUGGCUUAGGCCGCUGUUGUAACGGUCGUGUUGGCUGCAUUGUCAAAGUGAUUUGUGAGAGCGAUCAGUUGGAUUUGUCGUAAAAUGGCUGUCUAGAACCUUUUUUGAGACCCGGUUUGAAUAGGCUGUCACAAUUUUCUCCUCACGACCGUGUAUGCACCGGAUUUCCAUGCAUCCAUACACAAAUAGACGGUGGAUUAAAAAUGACUGUAUUAUGGGAGGACGGUGAGUGUCCUCCAAGGAAAAGGCUCUGCCUCUCCGCAAGCCAAACCCGCCGUGGCACCACUUCUGGUGAAGAAGUGCAUGUGCCAGAUCAGAAACAACAGCAAGAACCUCCAAUGGCCAUGCCGAUAGAAGCAGGCAUGAUGGUUGUCGGCGGUGUUGACGCAGUUGGAGGUGCAGCAGUGAGAUGUGGGCACGACGACUGUGAGAGCCCAAUCACCACUCUCUCCAAUCUAGGGAAUACUUGCUUUCUAAACAGUGUUCUAUAUACUUUGCGAUUCGCACCCUCUUUUAUACACAACUUGCAUCACCUCGCUUUAGAUCUCAAAGAAUACAGCGGCCGUCACACUUUAAAAUUUUUUCAGUGUUCCUCUUUGGGUCGAGGCGGGAAGAGUUGGAGCAGCAAAGACCUGCCGUCUUUGGGUGGGGGUGACGUUCCCAAUGUCAAAAUGCAAAUUGCCACUGAUAAACUCCACCAGCUGUACGAAGCUCUUCACACUGAAGAGCUUAAAGACAACAUGGAGUCUUAUCACCCCCACGUCUUCCUACACUCUUUAAGGGAUGUAAACCCGAUAUUCGAAGGAAACCAACAACACGAUGCCCACGAGUUGCUUGUCUGCCUCCUCGACAACAUCAGGGAGACGUGCAAACAGUUGAGGCAGCUUGUGGCAUCGACACCAGUUUCGACAAUACCUUCUGCUCCGCCGUCGCAACAGCCUGCAAAGCAAUCUUGGUCCAGUCAAGUGCGAAAGAGCCUUAGCAUCACUAGGGCGAGACCUAAAAUUAAUGGCGAUGAUAAAAAGUUAAUCCCAUUAGGCAAAGAAUCUCAGAUACAAAAUGGUGAUUGUUGUACAAAUGGUGUAGACGAGGAAGAUGACCAUAGCAACAUUGGCCAUAAUUUUAUUAGUGAACACUUUGAGGGUGUUUCUCUCCUAAAAACAACAUGUUUAGAGUGUGAGCAAGUAACUCAAAGGCAGGAGACCUUCUCAGAUAUCUGUGUUCCCAUAACUACUAAUCUUAAAGAUAAACCUUCAAAUGUCAAUAAAUUGUACCAAAAUGCUCUUGUAACAGAAGAAUAUUUGCAUGACAGUAACAAGUACUGGUGUGAGCAGUGCCUGCGGUACAAUGAGGCAAAACGGUGUGUCAAAUUUGAAACUCUUCCAAAACUGCUGACCCUUCAGAUAAAACGAUUUUCUUCAGGGUUCGGUUCUGUUGUUAGUAAAGUCAACGAGCACAUGCCGACCCCAUUGGUCCUGGGCUGUUUUUGUGAGAAGUGCCAAAGCACAAACAACCCAGACCACCAGUACCACCUCUAUGGCGUAAUCAUGCACCUCGGCGCUACGAUGGCAUCCGGGCAUUAUGUUGCCUAUGUAAAAGCGCGAGAUUCAUCUGUCGACUAUGACUCUUGCACAAGGGAGAGGCGCAAAACUGCUAGUCUUAGUGCUAGUUUGUCGUCCUCAGCAGCUGCUAACUCAAAUGACAAAUCAAACUCAAAGAGGAAAUGGUUUUCUCGCCAAAAAAAUACUAGUCCAUUACCGAGAGGGCAAUACUUCAGGUCAUCGUGCAGAGGUGCAGAGUGUUGUGGAGUGAAGCUGCGUAUUGAUGAGACAUCUGAGCCGGUUUGGUUGGAAUGCGACGAUGAGACUGUGAGGACCAUCUCCAAAAAGCAACUGGAAGAGAUUCUCGCUCAGAAACAACCGAAAAACUCCACCCUCACCCCGUACUUGUUGUUUUACGCAAGGCAGUGAUGUUUGUUGCUUCUAAGCUAGCUUGUGAUGCCACAUUCCUCUUUCCUUUAGAAGAAAGUUUCGCUGUGUUAAAAGUCGCAUUUAUCAAUUUUAUGUUCAAAGCGAGAAAUGCUUCAAUCAGUCACGUCUACUUUCUGCAUAUCAGAAUAUGCAUCGUUUUAAAGUGUCUCAUCUUGUAAGAGUUUACAAUUGAUUGAUCGAUUACAGUUGUUUCUAAUAUAUUUUUGAUCACUUAAAGAUUUUAGAAUAUUUUAUAACACUAUGUUAAUUUGUAGUCAAAAAUUGAACACAUUGUCCUUGCAUAAGACAAAAUCUAAUUUUUUUUAAUGAGAGCAUAAUAUAAGCAUGGUGAUCUUGACCCUCCAUGGCAGAAAUUCGUCAAUUAACAACAUUGAUUUGUACAUUUUAUUAUGAUUGAAAGAAAAGUGAGACAAAAAUUGUCUACUGUCAAUAUUUUUCUAGGUUUUUAAUAGUUUAUUUAUUCAAAUCACUAAUAAGGGGGUUUAAUAAAGCACAUUAACUAUUUAUUAUUGGUUUAUGUGAAAAUAAUUUAGAGGCACAUUUUAUUUUAAUAAUUUCAUAAAUUCAACUUCUUUUUGAAAUAAUUUCCUUAAAUUCUAUUUUAACGAACAAAACUACAAUAGUUUACACUGUUAAUUGUGGCAUAAUUUAAUUUUUUUUUAAUAUUUGUUUAUUCCUUUUAAAUGCAUUUGGCCUAAUAAAUUAAUUCAGACUGGAAACCUGUCAAACCAAAAACAUUGCAAAACUAGUAUAAAGUUGUUAUCGCAAAUAAUAUUUGCUCAAUGUUACAGUUGAUGAUAGAUUUAGUAUAUUGUUGAUUGUGUCGAUAUAUUUAAUUAUGUAUUAAGUGUUCAAUGAGGACAUGUUCAUAAAGUUACAUAAGGCUUGCUUACAUGUUGAGAUUCCAAAGGAAUUUUUUUAAAUAGACGAAUCCCAAAUGUACAAAAUACAAAAAACCUACACCAGUCUUUACUGGUAAUUCCAAAAAUUGUAAAACAAAUUUUAUUCUAUUAUAAUUACAUUAAUUUUCAAUUAUUUGGUAAUGUGGUUUAUGCUUUUAUAUGUCAAUAAAUGAAACUGUUUAACAUUGUGGUUGAAUACUUGAAAACUUUAUUCAAAAGAGGAAAAAGUUUUCAGUCUAAGGCUCUCUGUAUUUAUAAAAGAAAACCUGAUCAGUAUUUGCAAUGUUACUGGUUUUCUAGUCUUCAGUUAAAUUAUUUUGACAAAUUAAAAAAUUAAUGACAUCUAAAUUGUGAUAUUUUUCUUACAGCACGUUGAAUUAAUUUUCUCUUUUGAGGUCGACGGUAAUGGGCUGAUAAUUUACUUAUCGCACAAAAUUAAAAGUACUUUUGUUAAAUGUUCACGAGAUAGUUGUAGUUAGGUUGAUUUUGUUUAAUUUUAAUUUUAAUCAGGAUUAAUAAAAAAUUUCAUUAAAUAAAUAAAAACAACUGUUUAUAACCUCUUAUAGAGCAUCGUUUGAUGUAAAAAUAAAACUGCCUAAAUUUAUAGGGCUGAAAUAAAAAGAAAUAUAUACAUUAAUUGUAUAAUAAUCACUGUAAAUUGUCUCGUCUAUGUAUAGUGUAUAUUAAAAAUAAUGGUUGUAGAACUUUGGCACAAAGCUCUGUUUUAAGAUUUGGAAUAAAAAGCCCAUUGCUUUGCUUCCUCUAAUAUUUAGCAAUAACAAUUAAAUGAGAUCUAUGUAAUUUAUAAUUACACAAAAAAAAAAAA
rnacentral:misc_RNA from 1 species